AGACUGUAUAUACUAUGAACAACUUGGCUCCGCCCCCUCUCAUUAUAUAUUUUUUCUCCACUUCCUGAAACCAACAUUCGGUGGGAGAGUCGCUGUGAUGACGCUCGGCUCAAACAGCGUAUCCCCCGGUGAUCUACUCAAUCUCUGUCCUCCCAUUGGCUGUAUCAGGUGUCAAUCAUCGAAAACAUCAACCCCCUGGACUGUUCCAGUAUGUUUCCAAAAGUCCAAAAUUUUCUGAAACAUUCCGGAAUCUUACUGAUCUUUUAGAAUGUCUUUGAUGUUAUAGAAUGUUAUUGAUCUUUUAGAAUGUCUUUGAUGUUAUAGAAUGUUAUUGAUCUUUUAGAAUGUCUUUGAUGUUACGGAAUGUUCGGUGAUAUUCUAGAAUGUUCUACAUCCUCAGAGCGUCACCACCAUAGACUGUAUUUACUCAUUCAGCGGGAGAGUCACUGUGAUGACGCUUGGCUCAAACAGCGUAUCCCCCGGUGAUCUUCUCAAUCUCUGUCCUCCCAUUGGCUGUAUCAGGUGUCAAUCAUAGAAAACAUGAACCCCCUAAUAACUUUUAAAAAUGGAGCUGUACAGAAAAAAGAGGACUUGAGCACAAACCAGUCUGACAGUAACUACAUGUCAACAUCACAACCAGGGGGGAGAAACAUUUAUAUUCUGUGUUAUUCAUUUAGAAAGUUUGUCCACAGCUCCAUAAGGAGGCGGGGUUUAUGACCUAUACUGCAGCCCGUCACCAGAGGGCGCUGUUCUCACAGAGAGGAGGCAGACGGCGUCUAUUCUAGAUACAGUCUCAGUUU